rnacentral:rRNA from 1 species
UAACGUAUAUUAAAGUUGUUGCGGUAAAAAAGCUCGUAGUUGGAUUUCUGUUGAGGACAACCGGUCCAUACCAUGUAUGCGCAUCUGGCUUGGCCUCGGCAUCCUCUCGAUGGACGUUUCUGCGCUUAAUUGCGUGGAGCGGACUUCGGGACUUUUACUUUGAGGAAAUUGGAGUGUUCACGGCAGGCUUUCGCCAGAACAUAUUAGCAUGGAAUAAUACUAUAGGAUCUUGGUUCUAUUUUGUUGGUUUCUAGAAUUGAGAUAAUGAUUAAUAGGGACAAUUGGGGGCAUUCGUAUUUCAUUGUC